CACGGCGGGGCGGGGCUUGGCGGUGCUGGGCGGGGCUUGCGGCCUCGACCCCGCCCACACCUUAGGUCCCGCCCCUACCCAGGCCCCGCCUCAUCUCCGCCCCCAGCUCCGGCCCCGGCCCCGCAAGGUCCCGCCCGUCCCUGUCCCGUCUGCAGGAGGAGCUGGCGCUCGCUGCGGGGCUCCGGGCCUUGGGGGCUCCGGGGUCUGGGCCUCCGCCUGGCUGUGCGCCCGUGUGCGCCGGCCUCUUGUGUGACCGCGGCUGGGGAGGGCGUGCGGGCCGCGGGGCGUCUCUCCCCGGCACUGGGGACUGCGGCGCGGAGGCGGGGAGGGCGGUGCCGAGUCGGCCCUGGUGGGCGGGCUGUGUUGUUUCCAGGUGGCAGCAGGUCGGCGCCCCCAGCGGCUGAGCGGACGGUGCUUUCCCUCACUUUACACACCAGGGAAGGCCCAGCGCUGCCGAGCAGGCUGCUCAGGGUCUCCCGCUCGUAGAGGGGCAGACCCCACGCGGGACCCCUGACGUCGGCCCGGGAUGGGCACAGCUUUGGGGUCGCGGUGUUUGGGGUUGUGCCGGGUGGCUCUGGAGGGCCUUUGUGGGGGCGCUGCACUGGGGAUCCUCAUGGUCUUCGGCCUGGCACCCGCCCAGGGGCUGAGACAGUGGCGAGUGAGCCGUGGCCUGGAGCUGGAGACCGCUGCCCUAGAGGGACGCCCGAUUCUGUUCAUGUGCUCCGCUGUCUCUUGGGGGUCUGAGUAGUGGGGGGUUCCCUGGGUAGAAGAGUCAAGCUGGGGAGCACGCUGGAGGGGAGGCCUUCUCUAUCCUGGUGCCCAGCCAGUGGGCUGGCCUCCCAAGGAGGGUUGACUUUGUGUGUGUCUGGGAGGCUGUGCCAGCCGGGAGGCUGUGCUUCUGUCCUCUAGGGGAGCUGGGAAAACACUGGGGCUGGAAGCAUCAGAUGCGUAAGAUAGAGUUAGGUUUAAAAUGAUUGCUUGGUAACUGUGAACAGCAGAUGGGAGGGUGGCCAAGACUGGAGGAGGCAGCCCCUCUUAGGAGCCAGUGUCAGCUGUGCAGGGGGCGGAGGUUGGCUUCGUCUAGGGGGUAACAAAGCAGACGGGAAAGCGGCACGGGGGUCCUCCUGGCAGACUGUGGGGAAUGGUUGCGCUAGCCACAGGGACUAUUUAAGUAAAAUUAAAAAUUGAAUGGCGUUAGUCCCAUUUCCAGUGCCCAGUAGCUCCCUAUGGCCGCCACUGUCUUGGGCAGCUCGGAGACAGAACAUUUCUUUUCUUUUUCUUUUUUUGUUUUUUUUGAAAUGGAGUCUCACCCUGUUGCCCAGGUUGGAGGGUAUGAUCUCAGCACACUGCAACCUCCACCUCCCAGGUUCAAGCAAUUCUCAUGCCCUAGCCUCCCGAGUAGCUGGGACUGUAGCUGUGCACCACCACACCUGGAUAAUUUUUGUAUUUUUAGUAGAGACGGGGUUUCACCAUGUUGGCCAGGCUGGUCUUGAACUCCUGACCUCAACUGAUUUGCCUGUCUUGAUCUCCCAAAGUGCUGGGAUUACAGGUAUCGAGAACCUUCCCUGCGAACUUCAGAGGAACUUCCAGCUGAUGCGAGAGCUGGACCAGAGGACGGAAGAUAAGAAAGCAGAGAUUGACAUCCUGGCUGCAGAGUACAUCUCCACGGUGAAGACGCUGUCUCCAGACCAGCGCGUGGAGCGCCUGCAGAAGAUCCAGAACGCCUACAGCAAGUGCAAGGAAUACAGUGAUGACAAAGUGCAGCUGGCCAUGCAGACCUACGAGAUGGUGGAUAAACACAUUCGAAGGCUUGAUGCAGACCUGGCGCGCUUUGAGGCAGAUCUGAAGGACAAGAUGGAGGGCAGUGAUUUUGAAAGCUCCGGAGGGCGAGGGUUAAAAAAAGGCCGGGGUCAGAAAGAAAAAAGAGGGUCCCGGGGCCGAGGCAGGAGGACAUCAGAGGAAGAUACACCAAAGAAAAAGAAGCACAAAGGAGGGUCUGAGUUCACUGACACCAUCCUGUCCGUGCACCCCUCUGACGUGCUGGACAUGCCUGUGGACCCGAACGAACCCACGUACUGCCUGUGCCACCAGGUCUCCUAUGGGGAGAUGAUUGGCUGUGACAAUCCAGACUGUCCAAUUGAGUGGUUUCACUUUGCCUGCGUGGACCUUACCACGAAACCCAAAGGAAAAUGAUUUCAUUUAAAUAAAAACCUAUAGUCUGGGCAACAUCGGGAGACCCCAACUCUACAAAAAAUACAAAAAUUAGCUGGGCGUGGUGGUGCGUGCCUGUGGUCCCAACUACCUGGGAGGCGGAGGCGGGAGGAUGGCUUGAGCCUGGAAGUCCGAGGCUUCAGUGAGCUGAGAUCGCGCCACUGCACUCCAGCCUGGGCGAGAGAGCAAGACCCUGUCUCAAAUAAAUAAAUAAAAAGAUAAAAACCUGGCUUUGUUUGCCUGUGCUGAAAAUCUAAAAAUGGAUAUCUAUGUUCUGAAAAUGAAAUCGGAAUGUGCUCUUCUGUGUGGCACUCAGAGGUCAUCGUGGCGGCGUGUUUGAAACUCCGGCAGACUCGCCCGAGUUGGUUCUGUCCACGGUGUGUCCAGGAAAAGAGGAAGAAGAAGUAGGAGGAGCUGUGUGCCCGGAUCCAAGGAGCAAGUUAAUCUAUCCCUUCAUUCAUGUCGCAAUAUUUCCCCUCCUUUUAAAACUACCUUGUUCGGUUGAUACUUAGUAACUCCGUGGCCAGCUGGAGCGCUGGAUGUUUCCUAGAACAAGAACCACCAAACCCUGUUCGCACAGAAGGGCGACCCUGCAGGGACUCGCCGCCGCGACGUUAGUGUGGCUUUUACAGGACUUCCCCUGAGCAUCAGCAGGGACCCCGGCGGACGUGGGCGGGCGCUCGUGAGCUCGGGCUGCCCGGCCAGGCGUGCGGGCGGGGACAUGGUGACCUGGUCCACGGCCGCCGCUCUGCAGCGCGCGGCGCCACCCUCUCGUAGCUUUCCUGUGGUUUUCCAGGACCGUUUGGUACAGCCCGGGCUCCGCGUGCCCCACCCGCUGGAGCACACCUGCCACCGAGGGGCGCGUGUGGGGCCAUUGCCGUGGCGGCCGGCUGCCCUCCUCACACUCAGCUCCGUGCCGCCUGCGGCCACCGUGCACUCCUGCUUGGGGCGCCUCUGACGGGCCCGGGAGGGCUGGGGGCUCUUCCCCGGAGGAAGCAGCCUCCGCUUCGCUGUGCGCCGCCUUUUUAGCUUGGACUUCAGUCCUCCCUCGGGGGACUCACCUCUGGAGUAAACGGCUCUUCAUUAGCUUGGAGUAGCUGUGUGUCCUGUGGCCAGCACCCACGAGACCCUGUGCGACAGCUGGGCUGAUGCUCCGUUUCUCUGGGAAUUGGUGAUUUUUUACUGUGAAGAUGAAAUUAUCAUAAUAGCAUGAAGAUCGUGGGUCUGUGUGUCUGUGAAGUGAGUCCCGUCUGCCAGGAGCUGACGAACCACGAAUGCUUCUGCCUGUGCUGUGCAUUCCCAGGCCCGCAGCUCCCGUUCAAGGGGACUCCGAUGUGAAUUUGUUGUGAAUUUAUUGUGCCACAAUAGCAGUUCUGGAAUGAAGCUAGGAAACUCGAGUGUGCUUUUUGUUUAAUUAGCGUUCACCAAGCUGAGCCGGAGCCAUCCUUUUGGUGGUAGUUGGGGAAGGCUGUGCAGAUUUGCUCUGUUGUGAUGCAUUGGUGACGGUGCCUAGCCUGUGGUUCCCGACAGCAUCGCAGGCUCUCGGAAAUCCUCUCCUGUGCCUUUAGAGGAAGGAGAGGAUUCCUGAGGAAUGCAGGGAAGCCUGUUUCUGUCCUCACACCACAGAAAGAAACCUGAGGGAAAACUGAGACGUGAGGUUCCCGAUUUAAGAAAAGCCUGGUUUUCUUCAUGGUGGGGGGCCAUUUGGAAUGACAGCCUCACUUCCUUCUGAUGGCUACAUCUGUAUCUUUUCCUCCUGUGUUUAAUGUUUCACUAGGGAGAGGAAAUAAAGCAGAAGGAACGUGUGAAGCUCUGUGUCUCAGACGGGGCCCUCCCGUCGAGAAGCUGGUAGUCAGUGAGUGAGAACAAGAGAACAAGAACACCCUGAACAGUCCUGGUUGGGAUGGUGUCCACAUUCAUGUUCGGCGGUUCUUGAACACACGGAUGCCUCUGGGCCGCCUGUCCUUUUCCGAGGGUGUGGGUGGGAGUGGAUCCUCUGGGCGCAGGUGCCAGGCAGGUGCAGGUGGGCGGUCGGCCACUGCUGCUGCUCGUCCCUGCCAGUGUCUGGGCCUGAAGGGGCUCCCUCCAAGCGGUGCCUUCCUGUGGCUUAGAAGGGAAAGCGCCAGAGAGGGCAGGCUACAGUGCUUCACACCCUCAGCCACGGCUAUGAAACUGGAGAUGGGUGGGUUUUGUAUGUUAAUUUUUUUUUUUUUUUUUUGAGAUGGAGUUUUGCUCUGUCACCCAGGCUGGAGAGCAGUGGCGUGAUCUCGGCUCACUGCAAGCUCCGCCUCCCGGGUUCACGCUAUUCUCCUGCCUCAGCCCCCCGAGUAGCUGGGAUUACAGAUGCCCGCCAGCACGCCUGGCUAAUUUUUUAUAUUUUUAGUAGAGACGGGGUUUCACCAUGUUAGCCAGGAUGGUCUCGAUCUCCUGACCUCGUGAUUUGCCUGCCUUGGCUUCCCAAAGUGCUGGGAUUACAGGCGUGAGCCACCGCGCCUGGCCACCCAGCUAAAUUUUGUAUUUUUAUUGGAGAUGGGGUUUCACCAUAUUGGCCAGACCAGUCUCAAAAACUCCUGGGGUCAAAUGAUCCGCCUGCGUCGGCUUCCCAGAGUGCUGGGAUUACAGGUGUCAGCCACUGCGCUCAGCUGGGAGAUGAAUUUUCAUUUAAUGACUUAAUGUUUUGUUAGCACAAGUUUUGUGUGUGUGUGUGUGUGUGUGUGUGUUUUGUUUUUUGUUUUGUGUUUUUGAAACGGAGUUUUGCUCUUGUCACCCAGGCUGGAAUGCAAUGGCACCAUCUUGGCUCACUGCAACCUCUGCUUCCUGGGUUCAAGUGAUUCUCUUGCCUUAGCCUCCCGAGUAGCUGGGAUUAUGGGCGUCCACCACCACGCCCAGCUAAUUUUUGUAUUUUUAGUAGAAAUGGGGUUUCACCAUGUGUGGCCAGGCUGGUCUCGAACUCCUGACCUGAAGUGAUCCACCCGCCUCAACCUCCCAAAGUGCUGGGAUGACAGGCAUGAGCCACUGCACCCGGCCAACACAGAUGUUUAUUGAUCAUGGAGGAUACAUUGUGGAAAAUGUUUUUCUCUCUUUUACCAUUUUUGGGAAGAGGGAUAGGUAAGUGCAGGGAGUUUGUGCUGAAACAGUGCCUGGCAAUUUUUCAGAAAUGAAUUUGAUAUUGCGCUCCACCUUUGAGCUGUUCACACCCGUGGCUACCCCUGGAAAGCGCUGGGGUUGUUGAUGCUUUUGGCUGCCCGGUUUCCUGAGGUCUCGCUGCUUCCUGGGGAAAGAUGACUGGCUUCCAUGUGGGAAGCUUUUGUCUGACACGUGAUGAUGUGGUCCUGCCUGCCACUGUGCACCAUCCCAGGUAUUGAAUUUUGACCUUUUCUUUUCAAGUUUCUGUGCUUAGUGUUUUUAAUGUUUACUUUUGCCACUUACAAUAAUAUCACCAAAAUAAUAUGCAUAGAGUUUUGGAAGAAACACAGAAAACAUGAGCAGAAUGAGACAAUUCCUUGGGCUGUAGUUUGGACCCAACUGAAUCCUGAGUGCUCUGUGGCCGACGCUGUCUACCCGUGGGAGAGACACACUCAGGAGGGGCCAUUUGGCCAGAAAAGAAGGUCAUGGCCCCUGGCCUGGUCCCAGCCCUGCAGGGACACAGAAGCCACGCCAUUUGCACCAUCCACGCCUUGCUCCAGAAGGCCUGGCCGCCUUCUCCGUGGGGGUGAUUCAGGGAUUUAGUCUUGGACCAGACCCCCUCCACAGCUGCCGGGCCCCAGACCCAUCUCUUGGAUUGAGGGUGUGUGGGCUGGACCCAGUGGGUCACUGUGGCAGCUUCAUCUGAGCCGAAGGUGUGGGUCCUCUGUGGCUGUGCGAUUGACCUCGAUGGGAAGGAGCGUUCUGCCCAUUUUCCUUGUUUUCAGUGCUGCGGUAUCAGUCAGUGAUCUGAGGAAAUCCCGUAGGGGAAGGCAGGCUGCAGUGAAAACAGGAGCUGGUGAAACCGAGCCCUCUGCAUCUGCGAAUGUGCCCUAGGUGCUGCUGCUGGGGACAUGGAUGCCGAGCGGAGGCCUGUGUGGCCUCCUGAGCAGCAGCUGACCACCCGUCUCAUGCUGGACGGGACCCCUGGGCGGGUGGACAUGAGACCACUGUUGGCCAGGGACGCCGCGCAGAGGCCUACGUGGCUGCCUGAGCAGCAGCUGACCGCCCGUCUCACUGUUGGCCAGGGCUUUGUGGCGUGGGUGUUUUCCAGUCUGCCUGGAGCAGCGAGAAACAGCUGUGCAGACUGGUGGCGGUGGGAGGGUUUGCUGGGACUGAUGGGGACACCAGCCAGCUUGUCUUCUGUCCAGCAGCCCUGCCGGACUUGGCCUCCUGUCCUGUCGUUGGGAGCCCUGGCUGGGGCUGCUUUGAGCAAUGACGCUGGCCCAGAGCAGCUUCCCACAUGACCCCAGAGCCGAGGGUCUGCCCUGUCCUAGGUUAGGUCUUCAUGGUUUAGAAUAAAACUGUGAGGGAUGUUAAUUAUGGGCAUUGAAGACUUAAGGUUUUCCUAAAUUUUUAGUGAGCAGUGAUUGGCCUUCAAUACUUGUGCUGAGAGGAAUUUUAAGCCAGGGGAAGUGUAAGAAAAUGUUCCCAUUCAGGAGAGACUGCACUGGAGUUUCUUCCUCUGUAUUUUGUGGUGUCCACCCUUUAACCACGUUUCAUCCAAAACGAUGAUGCAGCUUUAACAUGAAUGUUACAUUUUUAUUUUCAAGGAAUUGUUAUCUAUGUUCCCUUUGUAAAGGAAAGAUAAUGUUGUGAAUCUUUUUAUUAGAUAAUGUAAAGAUGUAUAUCAGUAUUUUUGGAUCAUGUUAUAGAUUAUGGAUAUAUUGUUUAAUAAAUAAAGUAUUUUUUGGAACAAACAA